UACGAAGGGGGGCUAGCGUUGCUCGGAAUUACUGGGCGUAAAGCGCACGUAGGCGGGUCGCUAAGUCGGGGGGUGAAAUCCUGGAGCUCAACUCCAGAACUGCCUUCGAAACUGACGAUCUUGAGUUCGGGAGAGGUGAGUGGAACUGCGAGUGUAGAGGUGAAAUUCGUAGAUAUUCGCAAGAACACCAGUGGCGAAGGCGGCUCACUGGCCCGAUACUGGACGCUGAGGUGCGAAAGCGUGGGGAGCAAACAGG
rnacentral:rRNA from 1 species